UACAGAGGUCCCGAGCGUUGUUCGGAUUCAUUGGGCGUAAAGGGUGCGUAGGCGGCGGGGCAAGUCUGAUGUGAAAUCCUGGGGCUCAACCCUGGAACUGCAUUGGAUACUGCCUUGCUAGAGUACUGGAGAGGAAACUGGAAUUUACGGUGUAGCAGUGAAAUGCGUAGAGAUCGUAAGGAAGACCAGUGGCGAAGGCGGCUCUCUGGGACGGUACUGACGCUGAGACGCGAAAGCGUGGGGAGCGAACAGG
rnacentral:rRNA from 1 species